rnacentral:rRNA from 1 species
UACGUAGGGUGCAAGCGUUAAUCGGAAUUACUGGGCGUAAAGCGUGCGCAGGCGGUUUUGUAAGUCAGAUGUGAAAUCCCCGGGCUUAACCUGGGAACUGCGUUUGAAACUACAAGGCUAGAGUGUGGCAGAGGGGGGUGGAAUUCCACGUGUAGCAGUGAAAUGCGUAGAGAUGUGGAGGAACACCGAUGGCGAAGGCAGCCCCCCUGGGUUAACACUGACGCUCAGGCACGAAAGCGUGGGGAGCAAACAGG